CGGACUUCAUCAGCAAGGAUCACUUCAAAUCCGCCUUCUUCUACUUUGAAGGGGUCUUCUACAAUGACAUGCGUCACCCUGAGUGCCAGGACAUGAGCGAGACCACCAUUGAUUGGGCAAAGACUAGA